rnacentral:rRNA from 1 species
UACGUAGGGGGCAAGCGUUGUCCGGAUUUAUUGGGCGUAAAGAGCGUGUAGGCGGCUUUACAGGUCCGUUGUGAAAACUCGAGGCUCAACCUCGAGACGCCGGUGGAAACCGUAAGGCUAGAGUCCGGAAGAGGGGAGUGGAAUUCCUGGUGUAGCGGUGAAAUGCGCAGAUAUCAGGAAGAACACCCGUGGCGAAGGCGGCUCUCUGGGACGGUACUGACGCUGAGACGCGAAAGCGUGGGGAGCGAACAGG